GAACGAAAGGGAAUACGGUUCCAAUUCCGUAACCUGUUGAGUAUCCGUUUGUUAAUAAAUAUGGGCCUUGUGCUCAUCCUGGCAACAGGAACGACCAUAAAGAAGCCGUCGAGAGAUAUCGGAAGAGUUUUCUUUUCUGUUUUAUAGUCGUACUACCAUGGAAGUCUUUCGAAGAGAGAUAUGGUAGAUGGGCUAGAAGAGCAUGACAUUUACUGUUGUGUCGAUAUUUUCUCCUCGGACCUUGAAAAUUUAUGGUGGGGUCACGCAAACUUCUCAACAGGCCGUACCAAUAUCCGCAGCUGGUCUCCAAGGUGAAGAGUCUCUAGUCGAUAGAAUAAUGUAGGUAAGGGAAGUCGGCAAAUUAGAUCCGUAACUUCGGGAUAAGGAUUGGCUCUGAAGAUUGAGAUAGUCGGGCUUGAUUGGGAAGCAAUAACAUGGUUUAUGUACUCGUUCUGGGUAAAUAGAGAUUUUCGGAUCUUGUUCCUCGGAUAGUAGUUACGUAGCCAAUUGUGGAACUUUCUUGCUAAAAUUUUUAGGGAAUUAUCGCAAGAUAUAUUCCUUUUAAAUUAUAACGACUAUCAAUUAACAAUCAAUUCAGAACUGGCACGGACUUGGGGAAUCCGACUGUCUAAUUAAAACAAAGCAUUGUGAUGGCCCUAACGGGUGUUGACACAAUGUGAUUUCUGCCCAGUGCUCUGAAUGUCAAAGUGAAGAAAUUCAAGUAAGCGCGGGUAAACGGCGGGAGUAACUAUGACUCUCUUAAGGUAGCCAAAUGCCUCGUCAUCUAAUUAGUGACGCGCAUGAAUGGAUUAACGAGAUUCCUACUGUCCCUAUCUACUAUCUAGCGAAACCACAGCCAAGGGAACGGGCUUGGAAUAAUUAGCGGGGAAAGAAGACCCUGUUGAGCUUGACUCUAAUCUGGCAGUGUAAGGAGACAUAAGAGGUGUAGCAUAAGUGGGAGAUACUGGUCUUUCGGGGCCUUUGUCACCAAUGAAAUACCACUACUCUUAUUGUUUCCUUACUUACUUGAUUAAGUGGAACGUGUAUCAUUUCUUAGCCAUUAUACGGAUAUAUUUAUAUAUCUUAUGGUAUUGGGUUAUGAUGCAAGCUUCUUGAUCAAAGUACUAAGAGUUUGUUAUAUAAUUGUAAACAAAUUUUAAUGAGAUGAUGGCAUUUCGGUGCUAUGUCAAUAUUUGAAAUUUGGUAUAACUCCAAUACUCAGGUAUGAUCCAAUUCAAGGACAUUGCCAGGUAGGGAGUUUGACUGGGGCGGUACAUCUCUCAAAUAAUAACGGAGGUGUCCCAAGGCCAGCUCAGUGCGGACAGAAACCAACAUAGAGCAAAAGGGCAAAUGCUGACUUGAUCUCGGUGUUCAGUACACACAGGGACAGCAAAAGCUCGGCCUAUCGAUCCUUUUGGUUUAAGGAGUUUUUAACAAGAGGUGUCAGAAAAGUUACCACAGGGAUAACUGGCUUUGGCGGCCAAGCGUCAUAGCACGUCGCUUUUGAUCCUUCGAUGUCGGCUCUUCCUAUCAUUGUGAAGCAAAAUUCACCAAGGUUGGAUUGUUCACCCAUCAAGGUAAACGUGUUGUAUUGUUGAAGUCUUUGUCCUCUGGCCUCUUGUUGGUCACUGGUCCCUUCUGCUUGAACUCCUGCCCAUUGCGUCGCGUUUCCCAACGCUUUGUCAUUGGCACCUCCACCCGCGUCAACUUGGGCGAUUACAAAGUACCCGAACACUUGGAUGAUGCUUACUUCCGCCGUUUGA
rnacentral:rRNA from 1 species